rnacentral:tRNA from 1 species
GGCUCUGUGGCGCAAUGGAUAGCGCAUUGGACUUCUAGCCAACCCAAGCGUGGUGAUUCAAAGGUUGUGGGUUCGAGUCCCACCAGAGUCG